GCGCCACAGUCGGAAAUAAGCGGCGAACUUCGUGCAGAACCUGAACCAGCUUGGUGCGUAAAACGUUUUGGUGGGGCACUGUGCGCAUGCGUCCCGCUCGGGUCAUUCUUGAGGAAAAGCUCACCUCUUUGACAUCAGGAUUAUGAAUAUCGUGUGACUGGAUGUAGACAGCAAAACCAACAAAGGCAAGAGCCAGUGAAAGGAGGCAGAAGAAGAAGGAGACCAGAGGUGGAUGUCGUUCCAGGCAGAUACGCAGGGAGGCCAGUAGGGAGCAGAUGACCAUGAAAGCAGAAUACUUAAGAUUUUGUUGUCCCAAUUUGGAGAAACGGUUGACAGAUUUUGCUGAAAUGGAUAAAUUAACGAUUAGAGAAAAGACAUUACAUUGAUUGCUGACUAGAAGCUCUUAUGGACCUUUUGCACAAAAUGAACUUGUGACAUACUUUUGAUGAUUAGACAGGAUAGAUUAUAGAAGAAAGAGUAAUACAUAAUUUUAGAACAAGGGGAAGAAUAUUAAAAGCUUUAUUUUUUCUUUUUUUCUUUUAAUGGUUUUAUUAAAAUUAUU